rnacentral:rRNA from 1 species
AACGUAGGAGGCAAGCGUUAUCCGGAUUUAUUGGGCGUAAAGCGCGUGCAGGCGGUUUGAUAAGUUGGAUGUGAAAUCUCCCGGCUCAACUGGGAGCGGUCAUUCAAAACUAUCAGACUAGAGGAUGGGAGAGGGAGGUGGAAUUCCGGGUGUAGUGGUGAAAUACGUAGAUAUCCGGAGGAACACCAGUGGCGAAGGCGGCCUCCUGGACCAUUCCUGACGCUAAGACGCGAAAGCUAGGGGAGCAAACGGGAUUAGAGACC